CGGACGGGUGAGUAACGCGUGAGAACCUGCCUUCUGGAUGGGGAUAACAGAGGGAAACGACUGCUAAAACCCAAUGUGCCGAAAGGUGAAAAAUUUAUUGCCCGAAGAUGGGCUCGCGUCUGAUUAGCUAGAUGGAGGGGUAAAAGCCUACCAUGGCGACGAUCAGUAACUGGUCUGAGAGGAUGAGCAGUCACACUGGGACUGAGACACGGCCCAGACUCCUACGGGAGGCAGCAGUGGGGAAUUUUCCGCAAUGGGCGAAAGCCUGACGGAGCAAUACCGCGUGGGGGAGGAAGGUCUUUGGAUUGUAAACCUCUUUUCUCAAGGAAGAAGCUCUGACGGAACUUAGGGAUAUAAGCAUCGGUUAAUUCCUUGCCAGCACCCGCGUUAAUCCGGAGGAUGCAAGCGUUUUCCGAAAUUAUUGGGCGUAAAGCUUCCGUAGGAGGUGAUACAAGUCUGUCGUCAAAGCAAGUUGCUUAACGACCUAAAGGCGGUGGAAACUGUAUGACUAGAGUUCGCUAGGCCUAGCGAGAAUUCUCAGUGUAGCGGAGAAAUGCGUAGAUCUUGUGAAGAAUCUCGGUGGAGAAAGCUCGCUACUGGGCCAAAUCUGACUCUGAUGGACCAGCGCUGGGAGAGCGAAAGGCAUUAUAUCCCUCUGGACUC
rnacentral:rRNA from 1 species